GGGGAGAGUAAGUACCCGCCAGAGGGGGAUUUCUGUCGUUUAGUAAAGUAAUUUUUGGCGCGUAGAGAGAAAAGGUCACCUGGAGGCGACGCCCAGCCAUUGAUACCAUCGUCGAGGUUCACGCGGCACAAGGAUCCACCGUCGAUUGCCUCGGAGAUCCAAGAGCUUGUGGUAGUUGUAGAGGCGUUAGAAUUGGAUCUGGAGGCGGUAGAUUCAGAGGCGGAAUUCCGGUGUUUUGGCUUGGUUGUGCACAUUUUGAAUUAGUUUUCUG
rnacentral:misc_RNA from 1 species